rnacentral:misc_RNA from 1 species
GUGAAUCAUCAAAUUUUUGAACGCACGUUGCGCUUCCUGGCAUUCCGGGGAGUAUGCCUGUUUGAGGGUCAGUUUUAAUAAAAAAUCGGUUUAGUUACAAAUUGUGUCGUUUCCGGAGUUUGGGCUAUCUUAACAUUAUUGGUUAAGAGGCUUCAAAUUGACCUUUUUUGCGCAUUUAUAAACGUACAUAAAUUUUUUUUAUUCGUCUCUUCUUACU